GUCUGAUUUUCUUAACUCUACUACGGUAAGAAGAUGCCCUCCAUCAGCAGGCCGUGUCUGCUGGGACCUCUCUGGAGACUUCCUGAACCCUGUGGAUUUACAGUAAGAUGCAGUUUCCUGGGGAGUAAUUCUGGUGGAUACAAAUUCCGGAGUAUUACACCUGGCUUGCCUGGAGAUGUUACAAGUAGCUGGAUGGAUUCUUCAGCCUGGAUGCCCACUGAAAACAAGGACCGAAACUAAGAGGAUUGUAUCUCUACCCUUGACUCAAUGAGAAUGUUUGUUGUCAUCUCUCGGGCUACCUGGAGCUCCCUCUAAAAUAGAGCCGAGUUCUGUCACCACAGACAUUGGCAGUGGCACUUGCAUGCCCCUGGCAAGCAGUCUAUCCUGAGGUGGAGGAAGUUGCCCUUGAGUUCUGGCUGGUAACCAGCACAGUAUACCCUUUAAGCGUUCCAGAAGGAUUUUGAGAUCCUUUCCUAAAUCAAAGGUGGAAUAUUUGGGGAUUUGGAAAAUUGAGAUGUGAAGCGUUGACUUAAGAGAUGCCAAGUAACUCAGCAGAUGUCACACAGACGAUAAAUAGCAAAGAUGGAAGUCUUCAUGCCGGAGGCAAUCCUAUAAGACAGCUGAGUUCUGCAGAGCUG
rnacentral:lncRNA from 1 species